rnacentral:rRNA from 1 species
AACGAACGCUGGCGGCAUGCCUAACACAUGCAAGUCGAACGAGACCUUCGGGUCUAGUGGCGAACGGGUGCGUAACGCGUGGGAACCUGCCCUUAGGUUCGGAAUAACUCCCCGAAAGGGGUGCUAAUACCGGAUAAUGUCUUCGGACCAAAGAUUUAUCGCCUUUGGAUGGGCCCGCGUUGGAUUAGCUAGUUGGUAGGGUAAAAGCCUACCAAGGCGACGAUCCAUAGCUGGUCUGAGAGGAUGAUCAGCCACACUGGGACUGAGACACGGCCCAGACUCCUACGGGAGGCAGCAGUGGGGAAUAUAGGACAAUGGGCGAAAGCCUGAUCCAGCAAUGCCGCGUGAGUGAUGAAGGCCUUAGGGUUGUAAAGCUCUUUUACCCGGGAUGAUAAUGACAGUACCGGGAGAAUAAGCUCCGGCUAACUCCGUG